rnacentral:lncRNA from 1 species
ACAAAAUCGACAUUGACUCAGCAGCUGUGCCCACCAGUUUUUCAGUACCUGAGUUCAUCUUGGUUUGCUAAACUGAUCCUUAGAUGCCAGAUGCAGAAUCCCUGGUGGCACUACUAUACAAAGAUUUUUUUUCUUGGUAGGAACUAUCAGAGAUUGAGGUUUUCUGCUAAAGCCUUUGAGAAUCACGCCUCCACUCCAUAAUAGAGAAGAUUUAAACAGGCCCUUACCACUCUUCUGCCUUGUUCCAAGAUGGAAGGAUCUGGAUAAAGAAAAUAAUGGAAUUUUGCAAAAGUUUAUGGUGGUCUCCAGUCCCUGGAUUCAUCUCACUUGUGAAGUCUCUCUUGUGGAGAUGUGGCUCUCUCUCUGGUUCGUGUGGCUUGUGGCAGUGUACUGGACGUCUUGGCAGUUUGGCAGUCAGCAGCUUGCCAUUGAGGUGACUGAAAGAAGCUCUGUAGCGAGGGUUAGGCUGAGACGUCAAAUGGAUAGACUAUGGAAAACUGAACUCAAUGACUCCAUUUUGGCUGGACUUGAUUGCUUUGCCUCAAGCAACAUAACAAACAUUACCAGGCCAUUCCUGUCAAAAAUCUCAACUUUCCUGGGAAUUCCUAGAGGUAACACAUGCUAUAUCUACACAAGCCAAGCAAAGAGAAGAAUUAAGAUAAUGCCUAGCAAGUACCAACUUCACCCAAGACAGUGGCUUGCACAUGAAGGCUUAAUAAAUAAUUGUUUGUUGAAUCAAAACAACAGCCGUCCUUCAGCAUGUUCUUUCUCUGGGUGUGGAUAGCGUACUUCCUCAUAGGUCCCUCAGAAGUGUCCUGGAACAUUGCAUUGCGGUUAGUAGAGAAAUCUAUUAUAUUCAAAUGUAGCACAGUGUAUCUGUCUUUGUGUACAAUUUUUUUAAGGUUAUAUACAGACAUUUUAUUUGUUACUCAGUAAGGGAGAGGGCAAUAUUGGGAUCGAGAGUCCAAGGUAGGCAGGAAGGCAGGGAGAAGGAAGCCAGAUGGGUCCUCUGGGUCUGCUCCAGGAGGGGUGAUUCUGAUUGCUGAGCCUUGUCCAGGUCACACAACGAUGUGAGAGAGGGAGAAGGGGUGGGGGACUGGGACCUAGAUCCAGGGGUACAGUUUAGAAAAGCAUCCAGGACCACCAAGAACCAAGCUGAGUCAAGUCAAGCUGGACCUUGGAUCAUCCCUGGGGUUAUGUGUCCUAAUAUUAUUUUUUCAUUAUCAUUUUUCCAG